rnacentral:rRNA from 1 species
UAUCUCUGUAGAGUCUGCAUAUCAAUAAGCGGAGGAAAAGAAACUAACUAGGAUUCCCUCAGUAACGGCGAGUGAAGCGGGAAGAGCUCAAAUUUGAAAUCUUCAAGGUUCUACCUUGACGAAUUGUAGUUUAAAGAAGUGUUUUCUGUUGGAGUUUUGGUAAAAGUUCUUUGGAAUAGGACAUCAUAGAGGGUGAGAAUCCCGUAUUUGACCAUUAUUUCCAACUUUGUGAUACACUUUCAAAGAGUCGGAUUGUUUGGGAAUGCAGUCCAAAAUGGGUGGUAAAUUUCAUCUAAAGCUAAAUAUUGGCGAGAGACCGAUAGCGAACAAGUACCGUGAGGGAAAGAUGAAAAGAACUUUGAAAAGAGAGUUAAACAGUACGUGAAAUUGUCAAAAGGGAAGCGUUUGACACCAGUGUUGUUUAGUUGAAAAUCAAUUAAAUAAUUUUUCGAUUUUAAGUAGUAUUGACCUUCAUCAGCUUGCUGCUUUCUUCUCGGAAAUUAUUUAAUGCACUUUUCAGUUAACAAGUCAACAUCAAUUUCUUUUGUUGUAAAAAGGUAAGAGGAAGGUGGCUUGCGCUUCGGCUCAAGUGUUUAUAGCCUUUUACUUCUGCAAUCGGAGAGAUUGAGGUCUGCAGCGUAGAUCCUUCGGGGUUAGAUACAUUUGUGCUAAGCUAUAGCCUUGUAUAGACAACUUGUUGACUAUGCUCAGUCAUGUAGCUUACUCGCUUAUGCUAUUUUACCUACGCUUAGGAUGUUGAACGCGCACAGAGUCUC